UCUCUUGUCUGACUAGUUUCCAGUAUGGUCCGGUGUCUGCUCCCCGAAUCACCCCCAACCCCAACUCCUCAACGCAACUGGAAUACAAUGAAGAGCUUUGGGAAGUAAUUAGGUCACAAGGGCUCCAUUCUCCUGGAUUCCACUGGUGCCCUUAUCCAAGAAGGCUAGGCUGAGAGCCCUCCUGUCUUUCCACAGUGUGAGUGAGGACACAGAGGGUGCUGCCUUCCGAUGCACAGGUGGGCGGGCCCUCACCAGACACUGAAUCCGCCAGUCCCAUAACCGUGAGCAGCACGUCUCUCUGCGUAUAAAUUACCGGAUCUAAGGGUCUGGACCCCAGGGACAUAGGACAGGGAUCUGAGCCUACAUCAAGGUUGAACAUUGAAGGUCCUGGCAAAGAGUGAGAGCUGGGUACCCACAGAGAGACUUGGGGCCAGGCUGCUGCAGUCAACACAGGAGGCCAGCUGCGAUGGCAAUAAAACAGUGAACAGUAACUACGACAGAGGGUGGUACUGGCCCGGGCCAUGACGUUUUGUGAAAGAACGUGGAAGGACUUUGCAGCUCAUCCUAGGAAGCAGCUUGCAGGGCAGUGAUGCUGAGAGCCAUGGGAACUACGGAAGUCCUCAGAGUGGAACAUUAGCAACUGUGGCUGCCGUUUGCCUGUUUGCCCUCACUCUUGCUGGCAAGUGCAUCUCUC